rnacentral:rRNA from 1 species
UACGUAGGGUCCGAGCGUUAUCCGGAUUUACUGGGUGUAAAGGGCGAGUAGACGGAACUGCAAGUCAGAUGUGAAAUGCUAGAGCUCAACUUUAGAACUGCAUCUGAAACUGUGGAACUAGAGUGCAGGAGAGGUAAGCGGAAUUCCUAGUGUAGCGGUGAAAUGCGUAGAUAUUAGGAGGAACACCAGUGGCGAAGGCGGCUUACUGGACUGUAACUGACGUUGAGGCGCGAAAGUGUGGGGAGCAAACAGG